UUUGGAAAAAGCUCAUUUGUGGUGUUUAAUAGUGCAAAUUUUCACUUCGGAAAGGGCAGGAAAGGAGUCUUGCAAGGAAUCUGGAGAACUCAAAGGAAAGCAGCAUUGACUUCAGGACCACACUUUGCCCAACUGUGCUUCAAAUAUUUCUUCCUGAUGACAAAAACAAAAUAAAAGCAGCAGGCAGACAUAAUGAAAGACAUAUCAUAGAUCCCUAUGCCAGCCUUCCAUCUCUCAUCCUUGCCUGCGUGGAUGAAAUGGCUUUUGGCCAAUGCAAGGUCUAAUGGAUUGGAAACAGCAAUGCACUUCACUUUUGUUCAAAAAUUUCUGCAAACCACAAGUUUGAAUAACAAUAGAAGGAACCUCAUGGAGCCAUGAAACCUGAAACUUACAACUGGAAUUCAGAGGAAGCUUCAGAAAUGGUAUUGGAGAGCUCUGGAAGACACGCUUGACCUUCCGUCGUCUUCUUGACGGACGCCAUCUCCUGCUUUGAAAACUCGGAUUGAACUGACCACGGCUUGCCUUCCCCCUUCUGGACUUGGAAACUACAAACGUCUACUUCUGGCUUUGAACCACGGAAAGGAACUGGGUCUACUCUUCUGCUACAAUCCUUGGCUGAUCUGUUCGUGUUGGAAAUCCUGUCUGCUGUGUGUGUGGGAGCGACGCAAGUUCCUCUAAGCACAGUGUUGGCAGCAGAGAGGAAUCUGCUGCCAAUUAGUUGCAUUCUAUUAUCUUUUGUUCCUCGGCUUUUGUUUUGUUUACCCUCAGGCUGAAGCAAGCAGUUUGUUUUUACCCGGAUUAAACUUCAGUUUAAUCCGGUUUAUCUUUUGUACGUUUUUUCCUUGUCCCUUUUUUGCUCCUAAAGGCUAAAAUUGCCUGGCCCUUGUGUUUUACGGGCAUUUUUUGAGUUCUGUAAUUAAAUAAACUCUGUUAUCUUGAA